CAAUAAGCGGAGGAAAAGAAACCAACAGGGAUUGCCCCAGUAACGGCGAGUGAAGCGGCAACAGCUCAAAUUUGAAAUCUGGCCCCCCGGGGCCCGAGUUGUAAUUUGCAGAGGAUGCUUUUGGCGAGGCGCCUUCCGAGUUCCCUGGAACGGGACGCCACAGAGGGUGAGAGCCCCGUCUGGUCGGAUGCCGAGCCUCUGUAAAGCUCCUUCGACGAGUCGAGUAGUUUGGGAAUGCUGCUCUAAAUGGGAGGUAUAUGUCUUCUAAAGCUAAAUAUUGGCCAGAGACCGAUAGCGCACAAGUAGAGUGAUCGAAAGAUGAAAAGCACUUUGAAAAGAGGGUUAAAUAGUACGUGAAAUUGUUGAAAGGGAAGCGCUCAUGACCAGACUUGGGCCCGGUGAAUCAUCCAGCGUUCUCGCUGGUGCACUUUGCCGGGCUCAGGCCAGCAUCAGUUUGCCCCGGGGGAUAAAGGCUCUGGGAAUGUGGCUCCUCCGGGAGUGUUAUAGCCCUCUGCGCAAUGCCCUGGGGCGGACUGAGGUUCGCGCAUCUGCAAGGAUGCUGGCGUAAUGGUCAUCAGCGACCCGUCUUGAAACACGGACCAAGGAGUCGUCCUCGUAUGCGAGUGUUCGGGUGUGAAACCCCUACGCGUAAUGAAAGUGAACGCAGGUGAGAGCUUCGGCGCAUCAUCGACCGAUCCUGAUGUUCUCGGAUGGAUUUGAGUAGGAGCAUACGGGGCCGGACCCGAAAGAAGGUGAACUAUGCCUGUAUAGGGUGAAGCCAGAGGAAACUCUGGUGGAGGCUCGCAGCGGUUCUGACGUGCAAAUCGAUCGUCAAAUAUGGGCAUGGGGGCGAAAGACUAAUCGAACCUUCUAGUAGCUGGUUUCCGCCGAAGUUUCCCUCAGGAUAGCAGUGUUGAUCUCAGUUUUAUGAGGUAAAGCGAAUGAUUAGGGACUCGGGGG
rnacentral:rRNA from 1 species